rnacentral:rRNA from 1 species
AUUGAACGCUGGCGGCAGGCCUAACACAUGCAAGUCGAACGAGUGGCGGACGGGUGAGUAAUGUCUGGGAAACUGCCCGAUUGAGGGGGAUAACUACUGGAAACGGUAGCUAAUACCGCAUACCAUCGGAUGUGCCCGGAUGGGAUGAUCUAGUCGGUGGGGUAAAGGCUCACCUAGGCGACGAUCCCUACCUGGUAUGAGAGGGUGACCAGCCACACUGGAACUGAGACACGGUCCAGACGCCCACGGGGGGCAGCAGUGGGGAAUAUUGCACAAUGGGCGCAAGCCUUAUGCAGCGAUGCCGCGUGUAUGAAGACGGCCUUCGGGUUGUAAAGUACUUUCAGCGAGGAGGCGUUACUCGCAGAAGAAGCACCGGCUAACUCCGUGCCAGCAGCCGCGGUAAUUC